rnacentral:rRNA from 1 species
UCGCAUGCGGCAGGCUACACAUGCAGUCGAGCGGUAGCACAGAGAGCUUGCUCUCGGGUGACGAGCGGCGGACGGGUGAGUAAUGUCUGGGAAACUGCCUGAUGGAGGGGGAUAACUACUGGAAACGGUAGCUAAUACCGCAUAACGUCGCAAGACCAAAGUGGGGGACCUUCGGGCCUCAUGCCAUCAGAUGUGCCCAGAUGGGAUUAGCUGGUAGGUGGGGUAACGGCUCACCUAGGCGACGAUCCCUAGCUGGUCUGAGAGGAUGACCAGCCACACUGGAACUGAGACACGGUCCAGACUCCUACGGGAGGCAGCAGUGGGGAAUAUUGCACAAUGGGCGCAAGCCUGAUGCAGCCAUGCCGCGUGUGUGAAGAAGGCCUUCGGGUUGUAAAGCACUUUCAGCGGGGAGGAAGGCGGUGAGGUUAAUAACCUCAUCGAUUGACGUUACCCGCAGAAGAAGCACCGGCUAACUCCGUGCCAGCAGCCGCGGUAAUACGGAGGGUGCAAGCGUUAAUCGGAAUUACUGGGCGUAAAGCGCACGCAGGCGGUCUGUCAAGUCGGAUGUGAAAUCCCCGGGCUCAACCUGGGAACUGCAUUCGAAACUGGCAGGCUAGAGUCUUGUAGAGGGGGGUAGAAUUCCAGGUGUAGCGGUGAAAUGCGUAGAGAUCUGGAGGAAUACCGGUGGCGAAGGCGGCCCCAUGGACAAAGACUGACGCUCAGGUGCGAAAGCGUGGGGAGCAAACAGGAUUAGAUACCCUGGUAGUCCACGCUGUAAACGAUGUCGAUUUGGAGGUUGUGCCCUUGAGGCGUGGCUUCCGGAGCUAACGCGUUAAAUCGACCGCCUGGGGAGUACGGCCGCAAGGUUAAAACUCAAAUGAAUUGACGGGGGCCCGCACAAGCGGUGGAGCAUGUGGUUUAAUUCAGUGCAACGCGAAGAACCUUACCUGGGCUUGACAUCCACAGAACUUUCCUGAAAUGGAUUGGUGCCUUCGGGAACUGUUAAACAGGGGCUGCAUGGCUGACUUCAACUCUUGUUGGGAAAUGUUGGGUUAAGUCCCCCAACCAACCGCAACCAUUAUCCUUUGUUUCCAACU